GCUUGAUCUGCCUGGGGGACCUCCGGAUGCUAAUACCGCAUACGUCCUACGGGAGAAAGCAGGGGAUCUUCGGACCUUGCGCUAAAUGAUGAGCCUAAGUCGGAUUAGCUAGUUGGUGGGGUAAAGGCCUACCAAAGGCGACGAUCUGUAGCGGGUCUGAGAGGAUGAUCCGCACACUGGGACUGAGACACGNGCCCAGACUCCUACGGGANGCAGCAGUGGGGAAUAUUGGACAAUGGGCGGAAGCCUGAUCCANGCCAUGCCGCGUGUGUGAAGAAGGCCUUAUGGUUUGUAAAGCACUUUAAAGCGAGGAGNGAGGCUACCAAGUAUUAAAUACUAACUAGGAUAGUGGACGUUACUCGCAGAAUAAAGCACCGGCCUAACUCUAGUGCCAGGCAGCCCGCGGUACAUACAGAGGGUGCAACGCGUAAAUCGGAUUACUGGGGCGUACAGCGUGCGUAAGCGGCUUAUUAACAGNUCGGGAUAGUGGAAAUUCCCCCGAAGCC
rnacentral:rRNA from 1 species